AUAACAAGAGGGUGAAGCUGAAAAUUCAUCCUCACCACGCGGUCAAAGUCUUGGGAGGAUGCGGUCCAGGCGCGGUUACACGCAGCCGCCGACGAUGAUACGGUAAAGGAUCGGACGCGUUGAGUUAGCAAGGCCUCUUGGCCUUGCAUUUUUUU
rnacentral:sRNA from 1 species